rnacentral:rRNA from 1 species
UGGCGGACGGGUGAGUAAUGUCUGGGAAACUGCCUGAUGGAGGGGGAUAACUACUGGAAACGGUAGCUAAUACCGCAUAACGUCGCAAGACCAAAGAGGGGGACCUUCGGGCCUCUUGCUAUCGGAUGUGCCCAGAUGGGAUUAGCUAGUAGGUGGGGUAACGGCUCACCUAGGCGACGAUCCCUAGCUGGUCUGAGAGGAUGACCAGCCACACUGGAACUGAGACACGGUCCAG